UACGAAGGGGGCUAGCGUUGUUCGGAUUUACUGGGCGUAAAGCGCGUGUAGGCGGCUCGGUAAGUCUGCUCUGAAAGCCCGGGGCUCAACCCUGGGAGGCGGGUGGAUACUGCUGAGCUCGAGUCCGGAAGAGGCGAGUGGAAUUCCUGGUGUAGCGGUGAAAUGCGCAGAUAUCAGGAGGAACACCAAUGGCGAAGGCAGCUCGCUGGGACGGUACUGACGCUGAGACGCGAAAGCGUGGGGAGCAAACAGG
rnacentral:rRNA from 1 species